rnacentral:rRNA from 1 species
AGAGUUUGAUCCUGGCUCAGGAUGAACGCUAGCUACAGGCUUAACACAUGCAAGUCGAGGGGCAGCAUGACGAUAGCUUGCUAUUGUUGAUGGCGACCGGCGCACGGGUGAGUAACGCGUAUCCAACCUGCCCUUGUCCAUCGGAUAACCCGUCGAAAGGCGGACUAACACGAUAUGCAGUUCUCAGCAGGCAUCUAACGAGAACGAAAUGUGAAGGAGAAGGAUGGGGAUGCGUCUGAUUAGCUUGUUGGCGGGGUAACGGCCCACCAAGGCGACGAUCAGUAGGGGUUCUGAGAGGAAGGUCCCCCACAUUGGAACUGAGACACGGUCCAAACUCCUACGGGAGGCAGCAGUGAGGAAUAUUGGUCAAUGGACGAAAGUCUGAACCAGCCAAGUAGCGUGCAGGAUGACGGCCCUCUGGGUUGUAAACUGCUUUUAGUUGGGAAUAAAAAGAGGGACGUGUCCCUUAUUGUAUGUACCAUCAGAAAAAGGACCGGCUAAUUCCGUGCCAGCAGCCGCGGUAAUACGGAAGGUUCAGGCGUUAUCCGGAUUUAUUGGGUUUAAAGGGAGCGCAGGCGGACCUUUAAGUCAGCUGUGAAAUACGGCGGCUCAACCGUCGAACUGCAGUUGAUACUGGAGGUCUUGAGUGCACACAGGGAUACUGGAAUUCAUGGUGUAGCGGUGAAAUGCUCAGAUAUCAUGAAGAACUCCAAUCGCGAAGGCAGGUAUCCGGGGUGCAACUGACGCUGAGGCUCGAAAGUGCGGGUAUCAAACAGGAUUAGAUACCCUGGUAGUCCGCACAGUAAACGAUGAAUACUCGCGGUUUGCGAUACACAGUAAGCCGCCAAGCGAAAGCGUUAAGUAUUCCACCUGGGGAGUACGCCGGCAACGGUGAAACUCAAAGGAAUUGACGGGGGCCC